rnacentral:rRNA from 1 species
AUUGAACGCUGGCGGCAGGCCUAACACAUGCAAGUCGAACGGUAACAGGAAGCAGCUUGCUGCUUUGCUGACGAGUGGCGGACGGGUGUGUAAUGUCUGGGAAACUGCCCGAUGGAGGGGGAUAACUACUGGAAACGGUAGCUAUAACCGCAUAACGUCGCAAGACCAAAGAGGAGGACCUUAGGGCCUCUUGCCAUCGGCUGUGCCCAGAUGGGAUUAGCUAGUAGGUGGGGUAACGGCUCACCUAGGCGACGAUCCCUAGCUGGUCUGAGAGGAUGACCAGCCACACUGGAACUGAGACACGGUCCAGACUCCUACGGGAGGCAGCAGUGGGGAAUAUUGCACAAUGGGCGCAAGCCUGAUGCAGCCAUGCCGCGUGUGUGAAGAAGGCCUUCGGGUUGUAAAGUACUUUCAGCGGGGAGGAAGGGAGUAAAGUUAAUACCUUUGCUCAUUGACGUUACCCACAGAAGAAGCACCGGCUAACUACGUG